rnacentral:rRNA from 1 species
UACGGAGGGGGCUAGCGUUGUUCGGAAUUACUGGGCUUAAAGCGCACGUAGGCGGCUUUGUAAGUUAGAGGUGAAAGCCCGGGGCUCAACUCCGGAAUUGCCUUUAAGACUGCAUCGCUAGAAUUGUGGAGAGGUAAGUGGAAUUCCGAGUGUAGAGGUGAAAUUCGUAGAUAUUCGGAAGAACACCAGUGGCGAAGGCGACUUACUGGACACAUAUUGACGCUGAGGUGCGAAAGCGUGGGGAGCAAACAGG